rnacentral:misc_RNA from 1 species
GUUUCCGUAGGUGAACCUGCGGAAGGAUCAUUAUUGCAUAACCGAGGUGCGAGGGCUGUCGCUGACCCGAAAGGUCGUGCACGCCCGAGUGCCCUCACACACAUCCAUCUCACCCCUAUGUGCACCACCGCGUGGGUCCCCCUUUGGCUUGUUCGGAGGGGGGCUUACGUUUUCACACAAACUUUGUAUGCAGUGUAGAAUGUAUUUUUUGUUUUUGCGAUCACGCAAUCAAUACAACUUUCAACAACGGAUCUCUUGGCUCUC